CCUACGGGAGGCAGCAGUGAGGAAUAUUGGUCAAUGGUCGGGAGACUGAACCAGCCAAGCCGCGUGAGGGAGGAAGGUACAGAGUAUCGUAAACCUCUUUUGUCAGGGAACAAAGGCGGGGACGUGUCCCCGGAUGAGUGUACCUGAAGAAAAAGCAUCGGCUAACUCCGUGCCAGCAGCCGCGGUAAUACGGAGGAUGCGAGCGUUAUCCGGAUUUAUUGGGUUUAAAGGGUGCGCAGGCGGUCUGUAAAGUCAGCGGGCAAAGCCCGGGGCUCAACCCCGGCCCGCCGUUGAAACUGGCAGUCUCGAGUUGGAGAGAAGUAUGCGGAAUGCGCGGUGUAGCGGUGAAAUGCAUAGAUAUCGCGCAGAACUCCGAUUGCGAAGGCAGCAUGCCGGCUCCACACUGACGCUGAGGCACGAAAGCGUGGGUAUCGAACAGGAUUAGAUACCCUAGUAGUC
rnacentral:rRNA from 1 species